UCCGGUUUGUCACCGGCAGUCUCGCAUGAGUCCCCAACUUAAUGCUGGCAACAUGCGACGGGGGUUGCGCUCGUUGCGGGACUUAACCCAACAUCUCACGACACGAGCUGACGACAGCCAUGCACCACCUGUGAUGGUGUCCCGAAGGAAAGGUAUGUUUCCAUACCGGUCACCAACAUGUCAAGCCCAGGUAAGGUUCUUCGCGUUGCGUCGAAUUAAGCAACAUGCUCCGCUGCUUGUGCGGGCCCCCGUCAAUUCCUUUGAGUUUCAGCCUUGCGGCCAUACUCCCCAGGCGGUCAACUUCACGCGUUAGCUUCGUUACCAAGGAAUUGCUUCCCCGACAACCAGUUGACAUAGUUUAGGGCGUGGACUAC
rnacentral:misc_RNA from 1 species